rnacentral:rRNA from 1 species
AACGAACGCUGGCGGCAUGCCUAACACAUGCAAGUCGAACGGGAUCCUGGUUUCGGCCAGGUGAGAGUGGCGGACGGGUGAGUAACGCGUGGGAACCUGCCCAGUGGUGGGGGAUAACUGCGGGAAACUGCAGCUAAUACCGCAUGAGCCCGCAAGGGGAAAGAUUGAUCGCCAUUGGAGGGGCCCGCGUUCGAUUAGGUAGUUGGUGAGGUAACGGCUCACCAAGCCUUCGAUCGAUAGCUGGUCUGAGAGGAUGAUCAGCCACACUGGGACUGAGAUACGGCCCAGACUCCUACGGGAGGCAGCAGUGGGGAAUAUUGGACAAUGGGGGCAACCCUGAUCCAGCAAUGCCGCGUGAGUGAUGAAGGCCUUC